AAUAAACACCUGGAACCUGCCAUGUUGGAUUGUGAAUUUCUUCGAUAGUUUUCAUUAUUUAUUAUCGAGUUGUGCUUAAAUAAUACACAUAUGGCAGUCUUUGUAAAUGCAGAUUGUGGAGAGAAAUAUAGCCAGGAAACCAGAGAAAUGUUCCCCUAGAUAGUAAAGAAAAAGUUCCCUGACCAUGGACCCCAGGAACAGUGCCCAGGAUGUUGUACGCUGCACCCUGUGUCAGGACUCUGUGGCCCCCAUGUACUGUGAAGUUUGUCAUAUAUAUCUGUGUAAAGACUGUGUAGAGACACAUUUAUCUGAUUCCUCUAUUGUUCAUAAAGUAGUGUCACUAAAACAAUAUUUAACCACUCUGAACUAUCCCAAGUGUAGGAAACACCCCACCAAACAAUGUGAACUCCACUGUGAACAAUGUGACAUUCCUAUCUGUGUACAAUGUAUUUCUUCUAAAAAACAUUUAGGACAUAUACAAGUUGACAUUCUUAAAACCUUCGAAAGCAAAACAGAAAAGUUGCAAAAAGAUUUGCAAGAAUUGGAGAUAUUCAUUUAUCCUAAAUACCAAGAGAGUGCAUCCAUUAUCACACUAUAGACACAGGGUAUGGAUAUCUAUCCGGUGUGACGUGUCUGAAUGACACAGAAGUAUGGACGUUUGGUAGUAACAACAUGAUGAAACUCUUCAACCUGCAGGGAGAACUAGUGGAGUCCAUCCAAACCAAGUCAGGGAACAAACCACGUGACAUAGCAGUGACAAGGAGUGGGGAUCUAGUUUAUACUGAUAGAGAUGAUAGAACUGUGAACAUAGUGAAGAAUACACAGAUACAGACAGUGAUCAGACUACGGGGGUGGAUACCUUGCGGUGUCUGUAGUACCUCCUCUGGUGACCUCCUGGUUGUCAUGGACAAUGAUGAUAAACAAACAAAAGUUGUGCGUUACUCUGGCUCCACAGAGAAACAAAGUAUUCAGUACGAUGACAAAGGACAACCUCUCUAUUCAUCUGGUGGAUUAUUUAAAUACAUCAGUGAGAACAGGAACCUAGAUAUCUGUGUGUCAGACAGUAGAGCCUGCGCAGUAGUGGUGGUCAAUCAGGCCGGGAAACUCCGGUUUACCUACACUGGUCCUCCCUCUACUACCAAGGGACCAUUCUAUCCACGUGGCAUCACAACAGACAGCCAGGGUCGGAUCCUGACAGCAGACCAAUACAACAACCGUAUCCACAUCCUGGAUCAGGAUGGACAGUUCCUCCGCUACAUUGACAACUGUCAUUUACAGUAUCCAUCGGGUUUAUGUGUGGACACCAGAGACAACCUCUUUGUGGCUGAGGACACAGGUAAAGUGAAGAAAAUCCAAUAUUACAUGUAAAUCAAUGAACUGCAUAAAUUAGAUGUAAACAAAUGAACCAAGUAUACAUUACAUACUGUGUGUAGAUAUUACAUGUAAAGACAGUGUUUGUAUUGAUCCUGAAUAUACCAUCUACAUUAGAUGAGAAUGCUGUGUGUGUUUAUAUUGUAUAGGUAUUUAUCAUUACAGAUGAAAUAUAUAUAAUCUGUUAUCGGGUCAUGUAAUUGUUUUCUAUUAGAUGUAAACAAACUGUUGACUGUGUUUAUAUAACAUGUAGGUUUCCAUGUGUUUUGUUAUGUUGCAUGUCAUCAAACUAUGUGCUUUUUUACACCAAAUUUUUUCUGCAAACAAUUUGUUUCUUUCAUAUUACAUGUAGACUGUCCAUUCUUGUAUAGUAUAUUUUAACAAAAUGGCUGUGUUUAUGUAAUUGGUAACAUGUGUAUCAAAUAACUCAAUAUUCAUAUUACAAUAUAUAAACAAACUCUCUUCAUCAUUUGAUGCAUAUAAGAUGACAUUUUAUCUAUAACAUGUCAACGGUUUUUGUUUUUAACAUGAAACAAGGUAAUGGUCUCUAUAUGUUUAACUUACAUGUGGUUAUCUGAACAAACUUUUUGUUACAUGUAUUAAUGACGGAGGUUAAUGGACGUGUAGCACUCAAUUCUUUACCAGCAAUGGAGCGAGGCCACAAAAGGACUGAGGCCCAUUACUUAUAAAGAGGAGUGAUACAGGUAUAUUAACCCAAGUAGAAUACAAACUGUCUUAGCUAAUUAGCAUUACUUACCUUUAUAUCUCAAGAUUUAGAGUAAUUGUGUGUGAUUUUUUAACAGCCUUGUUUUCUCUGCUGAAUGUUCAAAGCUUCAGAAAAUCCACAUCCAAAAUAUCCAGAUCCUUGUUAGGUUUCUUUUCUUUGAGUGUUUAAUUUCCUGAUCUGAUCAGCUGUUUUCCUGAAAAUGUAUUUAGACAAUGAGUAUGUAUGUUUUUUGUUUUUUUUAAACAUGAUUAUGCUGUGUAUCAUGGAUUUUGUGAGUUUUAAACAAUAAAACUUUAGUCAGAG
rnacentral:misc_RNA from 1 species